rnacentral:RNase_P_RNA from 1 species
AAAGCAGAUCGUCUUAUCGUUCCGAUAUACUCGGAAAGGAAAGUCCGGACACCAAAGAGUAGCAUAGCGGAUAACAUCCGUCAUUCCGAUUUAUCGGAAGAGGACAAGUGCAGCAGAAAGUAUGUACAGGUAAUGCUGUAGUGAAACCAGGUAAACUCUAUGCGGUGCAAUGCCAUGUAAAUUGGAGUUUGAGAGUACUCGCUCGAUUUCAAAGGGUAGGCAGUUAGAACUAUUGAGUAAUUAAUAGUCUAGAUAAAUGAUAAGAGUUCCGAUUUAUCGGAAUACAGAAUCCGGCUUAUAGAUCUGCUUUUUUA